rnacentral:rRNA from 1 species
AGUGAACGCUGGCGGUAGGCCUAACACAUGCAAGUCGAACGGCAGCACAGUAAGAGCUUGCUCUUACGGGUGGCGAGUGGCGGACGGGUGAGGAAUACAUCGGAAUCUACUUUUUCGUGGGGGAUAACGUAGGGAAACUUACGCUAAUACCGCAUACGACCUACGGGUGAAAGCAGGGGAUCUUCGGACCUUGCGCGAUUGAAUGAGCCGAUGUCGGAUUAGCUAGUUGGCGGGGUAAAGGCCCACCAAGGCGACGAUCCGUAGCUGGUCUGAGAGGAUGGUCAGCCACACUGGAACUGAGACACCGUCCAGACUCCUACGGGAGGCAGCAGUGGGGAAUAUUGGACAAUGGGCGCAAGCCUGAUCCAGCCAUACCGCGUGGGUGAAGAAGGCCUUCGGGUUGUAAAGCCCUUUUGUUGGGAAAGAAAAGCAGCAGGUUAAUACCCCGCUGUUCUGACGGUACCCAAAGAAUAAGCACCGGCUAACUUCGUG